rnacentral:rRNA from 1 species
UACGAAGGGGGCUAGCGUUGCUCGGAAUCACUGGGCGUAAAGCGCACGUAGGCGGCUUUUUAAGUCAGGGGUGAAAUCCUGGAGCUCAACUCCAGAACUGCCUUUGAUACUGGGAAGCUUGAGUCCGGAAGAGGUGAGUGGAACUCCGAGUGUAGAGGUGAAAUUCGUAGAUAUUCGGAUGAACACCAGUGGCGAAGGCGGCUCACUGGUCCGGUACUGACGCUGAGGCGCGAAAGCUAGGGGAGCGAACAGG